ACGUAGGAUCCGAGCGUUGUCCGGAAUUACUGGGUGUAAAGGGCGUGUAGGUGGGUCUCUAAGUCGGUGGUGAAAUCUUGCAGCUUAACUGUAAAAUUGCCAUCGAUACUGGAGGUCUUGAGUACGGCAGAGGGAAAUAGAAUUCAUGGUGUAGCGGUGAAAUGUGUAGAUAUCAUGAAGAAUACCGGUAGCGAAGGCGGUUUCCUGGUCCGUAACUGACACUGAGGCGCGAAAGCGUGGGGAGCAAACAGGAUUAGAUACCCUGGUAGUCCACGCCUUAAACGAUGAAUACUAGGUGCUGGGCCGUAAGGUUCAGUGCCACAGCUAACGCAUUAAGUAUUCCACCUGGGGAGUACGAUCGCAAGGUUG
rnacentral:rRNA from 1 species